GUGAGUAGUUCAGAGUUUGAUCCUGGCUCAGGACGAACGCUGGCGGCGUGCCUAACACAUGCAAGUCGAACGGAGUUGCUUGGAUUGAUUCUUUCGGGAUGAUUUUCAAGUAACUUAGUGGCGGACGGGUGAGUAACGCGUGAGUAACCUGCCUCCGAGUGGGGAAUAACAGUCUGAAAAGACUGCUAAUACCGCAUAACAUAGCGAAAUCGCAUGGUUUUGCUAUCAAAGAUUUAUCGCUUGGAGAUGGACUCGCGUCCGAUUAGUUAGUUGGUGAGGUAACGGCUCACCAAGACCACGAUCGGUAGCCGGACUGAGAGGUUGAACGGCCACAUUGGGACUGAGACACGGCCCAG
rnacentral:rRNA from 1 species